rnacentral:lncRNA from 1 species
UUGAGAUAUAAUGUUAAGUCAUUUCUUUGUUGACUUUUUCUUCUUUUAAGGGAUGAACUCCAUGCAAUGAACUUUCCUCUUAGUAAUGCCUUCAUAGUGUCCCAGAGACUUCGAUGUGCUGUGUCAGUAUCCUCAUUCACCUCUAAGAAUUUUUUAAUCUCCUCCUUGAUGUCUUUUCACAACCCAUUGUUCAUUCAGUAGUAUAUUAUUUAGUCUCCAGGUGUAGGAGUAGCUUUUAUUUUUUUAUUUUAUCAUUGAUUACUAUUUUAUUCUAUUAUGAUCUGAUAGAAUGCAGGGUAGUAUCUCUACUUUUUAUAUUUGCUAAGAGUUGCUUUGUGGCAUAACAUAUGGUCUAUAUACAGAGCAACAGUAACAAAAACAGCAUGGUAUUGGCACCAAAAUAGACUGGUAGACCAAUGGUACAGAAUAGAGGACACAGAGACUAACACAUAUAAUUACAGUUAUCUUAUAUUAGACAAAGACGUCAAAAAUAUACACUGGAGAAAAGAUAGCCUCUUCAACAAAUGGUGCUGGGAAAACUGGAAAUCCAUGUGUAACAAAAUGAAAUUAAACCUCUAUCUCUCACCAUGCACAAAACUCAAAGUGGAUCAAGGACCUAGGAAUUAAACCAGAGAUUCUGUGUCUAAUAGAAG